AUGAAAACAGCCGAGUUCAUCAGGAAAGCCAGCAUGACGAGCUCCUCCAAUCAACGGCCUCUCUCAACUCCCACCAGCCUACUUCUCCAGUUCUGCCUCUUAUGCUGGCAACAGUCCUCAGCCUAUAUAAGUGACUGUAAAAGCCUACGGCUGGUGAUUUGGACCUCGGCGCUCCAGAGCCAUUAACGUGAUAAAGUUAGCCUCCAGCUGCCUCUGGUGCCAGGUCUUCCAUCUGCUCUGUUCCUGCAGUCCGUAACAGUAGAUACGUGAAGCCCUGGAUUCAAUCUGCGUGACCACAAAAUGAAUAAACACAAUAAAAACUUAAAGGUUACUUGUUGUUUAUUUGUUUGUGUCUUGUUGAGACGGGGUCUUGCUAUGUAGUCCAGGCUGGUUUCAAACUGAC
rnacentral:lncRNA from 1 species